rnacentral:rRNA from 1 species
GGGGAGGGCGGGGGGGGUGGUGAAUGGAGGCAGGUCGGGCGGACCGAGUCGGGUGGUUUACUAUGGGGAAAGGUUAGUGGCGGACGGGUGAGUAACGCGUGGGCAAUCUGCCCCUAAGUCCGGGAUAACAGAGCGAAAGUUCUGCUAAGACCGGAUACUCUUAACUAGCCGCAUGGUUGGUACAGGCAAGGGAACGCUUAGGGAUGAGCCCGCGUCCCAUUAGCUAGUUGGUGAGGUAACGGCCCACCAAGGCAACGAUGGGUAGCCGGCCUGAGAGGGUGGGCGGCCACACUGGGACUGAGACACGGCCCAGACUCCUACGGGAGGCAGCAGUAGGGAAUUUUCGGCAAUGGGCGAAAGCCUGACCGAGCAACGCCGCGUGAGGGACGAAGGUCUUCGGAUCGUAAACCUUUGUCAUCGAGGACGAUAAUGACGGUACUCGAGGAGGAAGCCCCGGCUAACUACGUG